ACUGUCCAUUUUGGUUGUUUUUGCAUUGUGACAUGUAAAAUAAAAUCUCAAUGAGAUUUAUGUCUAAUUUGUUAAUGAAAAUGUUCUUGAAAAGCACUGUAAUUUCUCUAUCAAAAAACAUUUUUGCUAAUUUUUGUUCAAAACUAAAUUUUUAAUAUAUAUAUGCCAAUCAUGAUGUACAAUACCUGACUGAAACUAUUUUCUGUAAUUCAGAAAGUCAACGUCUGCAACUUGCCAAUGUGCUCUUAUCUGACAAUAUCAUCGUCAUACCAUUUGAUGCCAAGUGUACAAUAAGAACUGAAAUGAAAAUUGACAACAGAAGUGUCAUGGUCUUGGUGGAAUAUGCUAUGCUCUUCAUUGACCUCUGUCUAAUAAUGGCUGGUGAUAGAAAACUAUCAGGAAUGCUUUAAGCUGGCAAUGGAGGGAAAUGUAGAAGACACUGAGAAAUCACAAGGUUUCAAACAUCUAGAAUAUGCUCACAGUCAGUCUUCAAGAUACUCACUUUAAUGGUUCCAGUGUGUUUUAGGAGACUUUGUCAGAACAGUACUUUAUACCUACAUACACUGGAGAUAUCAGACCAAGCAGAUAACUACAGAUAUAUUGACACAGAACAUGAAAUUAAUUGCAUAUCCCACACAACAUAAGACUUUAAACUGUUAAAUAGGCAGUGAGGCAUUUGUGUGUAACGUUCAUUAUUUGAAAUGAAAAAGUUUGACUUUGCAUUUAAAAGCCAUUAGCAUUAGAUUUUCCAAAUAUAUAUAUGUUUAUACAGUUUCAACUGUGAUGUAUAUCCAGUUGUACAUGUUUCCUCUAAGGAUUUAAACACUUGAAUGAUAUAGGAAAAUUUAAAUGAUACAUUUAUUCAAACUUAUGAUAAUAUAUAAAACACACAAUACCGUGGUUGAUCAUGUAAACCUUCAUACUAUAUUUUUAUAGAAAUUAAGUGAAUCUUUUGAUAUUUCUGAAUACAUUUAUUUUUACUUUGACUGGCUCAUGUAUAAACACAGAAUGCUACAUAAAGUGUAUACUCCAGUCUAUAUCAUAACAUAAUUGAAAUAGAUAAUAGAUAAUAUUUGCAUGAAACUCUGAACACUUAACCACUAUGGCAAUCUGCACCAGUUAAGAUACUUUUUGUUGAAUAAUGUGUUUUGAUGAGACAAGCUUGUAAAAUAGCUGUAUUUCUGUCAUUUUGUGUAUUUGAAGCAUGUCUGCAAAUGUAGAUUUUAUCAUGUAUUUUGAAUGGAUCUGAAAUACUGUUUAUUAUGCCCCCCUUCGAAGAAGAGGGGUAUAUUGCUUUGCACAGGCAUGUCGGUAUGUCGGUCGGUCGGUCGGUCGGUCGGUCGGUCGGUCCGUCGCUAGACCAAUGCUUGUCCGAGUGAUAACUCAAGAAUCCCUGGACGUAUGGUCAUCAAACUUCACAUGAAGGUUGGGGCUGACCAUUAGAUGACCCCAAUUGAUUUUGGGGGUCAUCGGGUCAAAGGUCAAGGUCACAGUGACCUUUAAUGGUAAAAUAAUUUUAAAGCUUGUCCGAGUGAUAACUCAACAAUGCCUGCACCCAUGGCCCUCAAACUUGGCAUGGAGGUUGGGCCUGACCAGUAGUUGACCCCUAUUGUUUUUGGGGGUCAUCAGGCCAAAGGUCAAGGUCACAGUGACCUUGAAUGGUAAAAGGUUGUCCGAGUGAUAACGUGACAAUGCCUGCACCCAUGGCCCUCAAACUUAACAUGGAGGUUGGGCCUGACCAGAAGUUGACCCCUAUUGUUUUUGGGGGUCAUCAGGCCAAAGGUCAAGGUCACAGUGACCUUGAAUGGUAAAAGGUUGUCCAAGUGAUAACGUGACAAUGCCUGCACCCAUGGCCCUCAAUCUUGACUUGGAGGUUGGGCCUGACCAGUAGUUGACCCCUAUUGAUUUUAGGGGUCAAAGGUCAAGGUCACAGUGACCUUGAAAGCAAACUCGACAAUUCUUGGACCUAUGGUCAUCAAACUUGACAUGAAGGUUGGGCCUGCCCAGUAGAUGACCCCUAUCAACUUUGGGGCUCAUCAGGCCAAGGUCAAUGUCACAGUAACCUUUAACGCAAAAAGUUAACAAAUCUUCCCCCACUGAUUUCUCAACAAUGCCUGAACCUAUGAUCAUUAAACUUGACAUGGAUGUUAAGCCUGACCAGUAGAUCACCCUUAUUGAUUUUAGGAUUCAUAGAGCCAAAGGUCAAGGUCACAGUGAUUUUGAAUGGUAAAAGGUUGUCAGAGUGAUAACUCAGCAAUGCCUGAACCCAUGGCCUUCAAACUUGACUUGGAGUUGCAUCUGACUUGUAGAAUACCCCUUAUGAUUUAAGGGGUCAUCAGGUCAAAGGUCAAGGUCACAGUGACCUUGAACAAAAAAAACUUGUCUUGUGAUAGCUUGACAAUGCCUGCACCCAUGGCCCUCAAACUUGACAUUUAGGUUUCUGGUGACCAGCUGGUGACUCUGGAUUUUGAGUUCAUAGAAUCAAAGGUCAUGACGGUCAUAACACACUUUAUCCUCACACUUUAAUGGUCAUAAUCUUAAAACAGCAACAAAUCAGCUGUCAUUUCGGUCCAUGCAUAUUUCAUUCAAUUGUCCAUUUAAUCCUGACAACAUGGCGCAUAGGGGGGGCAUAAUGUUUGACAAACAUCUCUUGUUUAACUGUUAUUACAACGAUUGACACAUUAAAGAUGGAUUUAUGAAUUGUCUUCAUACAAAAAAUCCAACCAGUCAAAAUUGUAUUUUCGAACUGUUUCCCAAUACAAUAAACUCUCAGUCACAGUUUUGAUGCAUAAACGUAUGAACUUUACUCGUUAUUUGAACUAAGGUCGUAUGAACUUUACUCGUUAUUUGAACUAAGGUCGGUUGUUGGUGAUUGGAAUCAGUCAUCAUCAUCAUCAUCAUCAUCAUCAUCAACAUCAUCCUACACAGCCACCACAACCACCACCACCACCAACUUCACCACCUUCAUCAUCAUCCACAUCAUCAAUCAUCAGCAACAUCUACGCAUCAUCAUCUCGACAUGAUCAUUGUCGUCAUCGUCACAUCAUAAUAAGUAUCCUUGCCGUCGUUGCAUCAUCAUUAUUAUUAUCAUCAUGUUAGUCGUCGUCGUCGGAUUAUCAUUAUAAUAAUCAUAAUAUUCGUCUUCG